GGAUGUGAGGGUGAUCUGGCUGUGACAUCUGUCACCCCAUUGAUCGCCAAAGUUGAUUCGGCUGAUCUGGCUGGCUAGGCAGGUGUCCCCUUCCUCCCUCACCACUCCAUAUGCGUCCUUCCCAAAGCUGCACUCACGACAAUCCCCGAUAGAGGAGGACUGGUCUUCAGCCAAGGGUAUAUGAGUAGCUUUGCACCCCUGCUAGGGCCUCCAAACAAGCUCUCAAGGUGUUGAAGGCUGAGGGAAUCUAGUGAGCAAAGACAAAGAGGCACAUGCUUGUUGGGGCAUAGAAUGU
rnacentral:snRNA from 10 species